UUGCAGCACAUGUUUUACAGGCUGUUGUGAAUUGCGACUGUUAGUAGUUCUUUUUCAAUUCGUUCGUUGCAGCAAAAGUGAUUUUUUGUUGCCGUACCUUUUAUUUGCCAGGCCAUUGCGUUUUUCUUUGGUCCUUUGAUGAAAUAAAUGAAAAGUGAGGCUGCCGAUGCAAUGCAUCAUAAAAAUUUAAUGAAACUUGGCGCACAACUGCAAAAAUGCAAACUGCGAAUUUGCAUUUUCGUUUUCAAAAAAGUAUCUAAGGCUUUUUUUAGAUCUUGUACUAUCUUGUAUCAAAGCGAUUUUUUUCGGUAUUGAUGAAUUACCGUAACUUAACUUUACCUUUAUAGAAAUUUAAAUUGUCUGUAUCUUUAGGGUUAUAAAAGAUAGGAUUCACUGGUAGCGUCUUACGGGGAAACGGCACGCAACUUUAAAAUAAAUACAAAAUGAAGAACAAAAACUUUUGAAACGCAAUUGACGUAGAAACAACCACCAGCAUAUUAAAAAUUAUUGUGUUUGCUUAAUCUUGGGGUUGAAUGAUUGACAAAUAAAUUUUAAUUAAUUUGUUGGUUCA